AAGUGCUCCGCUGUUGGUCAUGCUGGAAUUGGUAAUGAUUUUAUGGAUAUGUGAAUACUUCAAAACCUGGUUCAGCUGGCAGUGAGAAUGGGAACCAGAUAAUGAGCGUCCUAAACUGAAUUUGAAGCCUCGUUCACAGCCACUGAUCAAUUGGAGGGUAACAUCGGGAAAGAAAGAAAUGUGUGUUUGGUGGUGCUUGUCCACGAGAAAUGGUUCGGAAGGAGAGAGGGAUUGAUGACAGCAGCCAUGAGCUGGGCCAACAACCUGAUAGGGUCAAAUAAUGUUAUGAGGAGUGAAAAGUUUGCUGAGCAAGCAGCUCCUCGCCAUGGUGAAAGAGUGAGAUCCUUAUGUUGAUCAGAGAGCUGGAAGAAAUCUGAGAGGAACUACAGCGUUCACAAUGAAAGAGUUGAUAUGCAUAGGAGGAGCUGGGUAAGGAAACUGCAGAAUGACAGGGAAACUGAAAGACAACAGCAACAGCAGCAGGAGGCAGCCUUCACCUGAAACCUGGUGUAAGCCUGCUGAGAAGCCUCAACUAGUCUCUCCUGAAGCUGGUGUGCGCUAUGGAAAAGCAGCAUCAGCAUUGGAGCUUGCUCAAGCCUUUUCCAAACCAUUCUCAGAUCAUGAAAGAGAUAAUCAGCAUGUUGGGCAAAAGGUUCUUCCCGGCCAUGCCCCAAUGCCUUUUUCUCGGCUGAUGGUCCACUCCAAGGCCUCAGAAAUGGCUACUAAAGUUUGAGAGGGUUGUUGCCUUAACAGGAGUCCAUUGUGUCACCCUAACUGCCUAAAUGGUUUUAGAAUGUCAGUGGUUGCAGUUGUGUUAUGACUAAUGAUUUCACGCAGUUGAUCUGUUUUUCCUUUUUUUUAAUUUAAAAGAAACUUUAUAACAAAUGGCAUUCCAAAUCAAUUGCAACGCCCUUUCAUUUUUUUUUUUCAAGUGAUUCACAAUCUCUUGCUACUUUUAUUUCAAUACUCGGCUAACCUGGCUGAAAUAGCUGUAUGCUAAGCACUCUGAAGGAAAAUGUUAGUAACGUGAAAACAUACCAAGCUUGUCAGAUUUAUUGGUACU